AGCAGCCGCGGUAAUUCCAGCUCCAAUAGCGUAUAUUAAAGUUGUUGCAGUUAAAAAGCUCGUAGUUGAAUUUCGGGGUCAGUAGGCUGGUCGUGCCACAGGUAUGUACUGGUCUCACUGAUUCCUCCUUCCUGAUGAACCGUAAUGCCAUUAAUUUGGUGUUGCGGGGAAUCUGGACUGUUACUUUGAAAAAAUUAGAGUGUUUAAAGCAGGCUAACGCUUGAAUACAUUAGCAUGGAAUAAUGAAAUAGGACGAUCGAUCCUAUUUUGUUGGUUUCUAGGAUUGACGUAAUGAUUAAUAGGGAUAGUUGGGGGCAUUAGUAUUCAAUUGUCAGAGGUGAAAUUCUUGGAUUUAUUGAAGACUAACUACUGCGAAAGCAUUUGCCAAGGAUGUUUUCAUUAAUCAAGAACGAAAGUUAGGGGAUCGAAGACGAUCAGAUACCGUCGUAGUCUUAACCAUAAACUAUGCCGACUAGGGAUCGGAUGAUGUUAAUUUUU
rnacentral:misc_RNA from 1 species